UUACUAAGGUGUGUUUCCUCCAGGUUUAGCAAUACGUUGAUCAGCAAUAUACUCUGGAUUUCUCCCUGGGCUAGAGACCUGAGUGAGGGAGAGUUUCUUUCCCCACUCAGACGUCCAGUCCAGGAAGAAAUCUGGAGUAUAUUGCUAUUCUUGAUUAGCAAUAUACUCCGGAUUUCUCCCUGGGCUGGAGGCCUGAGUGAGGGAGAGUUUCUUUCCCCACGCAGACUUCCAGUCCUGGGAGAAAUCUGGAGUAUAUUGCUAUUUCUGAUUAGCAAUAUACUCCGGAUUUCUCCCUGGGCUGGAGGCCUGAGUGAGGGAGAGUUUCUUUCCCCACUCAGGCUUCCAGUCCAGGGAGAAAUCUGGAGUAUAUUGCUAUUUCUGAUUAGCAAUAUACUCCGGAUUUCUCCCUGGGCUGGAGGCCUGAAUGAGGGAGAGUUUCUUUCCCCACUCAGGCUUCCAGUCCAGGGAGAAAUCUGGAGUAUAUUGCUAUUUCUGAUUAGCAAUAUACUCCAGAUUUCUCCCUGGGCUGGAGGCCUGAGUGAGGGAGAGUUUCUUUCCCCACUCAGACUUCCAGUCCUGGGAGAAAUCUGGAGUAUAUUGCUAUAUCGGAUUUCUCCCUGGGCUGGAGGCCUUAGUGGGGCCUCUCCAUUAUUAUUAUUAUUAUUAUUAUUAUUAUUAUUAUUAUUAUUAUUAUUAUUAUUAUUAUUAACAUUGAGUCUGGGUGGCCAUCUGUCAGGGUUGCUUUGCUGUGCUUUUGGUGCACAAAGGCAGAAGGGGGUUGGACUAAAUGGCCCAAGGGUCUCUUCCAACCCUCUCCAUUAUUUUAUUAUUAUUAGUAACAUUGAGUCUGGGUGGCCAUCUAUCAGGGGUUCCUUGCUCUGCUCUUGGUGCACAAAGGCAGAAGGGGGUUGGACUAAAUGGCCCAAGGGUUUCUUCCAACCCUCUUUAUUAUUAUUAUUAUUAUUAUUAUUAUUAUUAUUAUUAUUAUUAACAUUGAGGCUGUAUUUGUUUCUUUUUUUAACCUCAAAAUAA
rnacentral:lncRNA from 1 species